rnacentral:rRNA from 1 species
AUUGAACGCUGGCGGCAGGCCUAACACAUGCAAGUCGAGCGAGCGGCGGACGGGUGAGUAAUGUAUGGGGACUGCCCGAUAGAGGGGGAUAACUACUGGAAACGGUGGCUAAUACCGCAUACUAUCGGAUAACCCAUAUGGGAUUAGCUAGUAGGUGGGGUAAAGGCUCACCUAGGCGACGAUCUCUAGCUGGUCUGAGAGGAUGACCAGCCACCAGGGAACUGGGACACGGUCCAGACUCCUACGGAGGCAGCAGGGGGGGAUAUUGCACAAUGGGCGAAAGCCGGAUGCAGCGACGCCGCGUGGGGGAUGAAGGCUUUCGGGUUGUAAACCUCUUUCGCUAUCGAACGGGUAGGUGGAGAAGAAGCGCCGGCUAACUACGUGCCAGCAGCCGCGGUAAUAC